GAAGGGCGGGUCCGGAGUUCGUCCUACCUCCGGUGCUGGUUCCACUCAACCUGAGCAUCCACUCGGGCCCCAGAGCCACCUGCCCACGCUCUUGAGCUUAGACCCAGGUUCUUUCCCGUAAAAGAAAAGUUCUUUCACAGACUUUUCCCGUAAAAGGUCAGUCAGUAAAUCUUCGCGGCUUUUCCCUCUAGAUGGUCUGUCUCAGCUACGCGGAUCUGCUGUGUAGUCUGAAAGCUGUCGUGGACGAUAUAUAAACAGACAAGGGUGCAUAAGGAGCACGCCGUUCCCCAAGAACUUCCUGCAGGUGGUGAAGAAGAUCCUGUCGCGGCUCUUCCGCGUGUUCGUGCACGUCUACAUCCACCACUUCGACCGCAUCGCGCAGCUGGGCUCGGAGGCGCACGUCAACACCUGCUAUAAGCACUUCUACUACUUUGUCACGGAGUUUGGCCUCAUCGACACCAAGGAGCUGGAGCCGCUGAAGGAAAUGACUGCACGGAUGUGCCACUGAGAGCCCUCGGCCCCGUUGUCACCGAGUCCGCGCCCGGGGGACAGUCCCACUUGAGGGCCACGUCUCCAGAACAGGGACCCGUAUUUUCUAGCCCAGCAAAUUCUGUGCUGUCUGGGCUGCGUCCUCUCUCGAUCCCAAGGUGGCAGCACCCGUGGGUCUGAGCCUCCGUGAGCCCCAGUCUCCUCGGCCAGCACGGGGGAGAUAGAUAGAACUUGAACUCUGUGAUUCCAUGUGUUGUGAGCAACCGGGAAAACCCACUUCGUUUGCAAACCUCUUGCACCUGCCCGGAGGCUGGCCCCACUCGGGUCUGUCUCUUGCACCGGCCCGCCUGCUCGGCCGUGGGUGACCAGGCCCCCGUCAGCGAGGCUGAGACCCCGCAGCGCUUCCCGCUGCGGCCCAGGCCAGGUUCCGAGUGGUACGAGCGCUCGGCUUGCGUCCUCCCCGCGUCCUCCCCCACGGCCACUUCCGUCCCGCGGUACCUCUGGGACCCUUAGGCUCCUGUGCCAGCUUCCUGAGCCCACGCCCACAUCCCAGGUGUCCUGGAGCCCCUUCAUGUCGCAUAAAAGAUUGAAUUCGUCUAGCUGCAUUUACGACCACCGUGAGAUGUUACCAGAAGAAAAAAGGUUUUUUUACCUACAAGGAGCGAUCCCCCUCCUCUCUAGAAAAAUGUCCCCUUUCCGUCGUGAAUAGCAGUACGAUUCUGCCAGGGAACGCCUCUCCCCCGCUUUGGGACCUUUGAGUUUCGCCGAAUGUUUAGCCGGACUUGGCCUUGCUUCACACGCCUGCCAACCUCCUAUCGAAACCCUUUGUCAGCGUGGCCCUCCGUGGCUCCGGGACCAAAUCCCAGCACCGCCCCCCCCGCAGAAGCUUGGGGGCCCCGCCCGCUCGCGCCCCACCCGCGCACAGCAUCCUCCGUGGCCUUCCGCUGUGGCGGUCCUACCCGCCUGGACCACACCAGCUCCGAGUACCUCUGGGCGUCUGGGACGCUCACGGGGAGACGGGGCCGCCACCCGACACCAACACCCAACAAGUGCAAUUAACAACCUGGGCCUCGGUCCUUCCAGAAGUUGCCGGGGUCCCGCUCCCGUAGUCCUGGGAAGACUGCAGGGAACCGCCCGGUCGCGUGUAGCUCCUCUUAAAUGCAGAACCACGACCAAAUGCCGUAACCACUGUGCCACUCAGGUCACCAGCCAGGUUGGAAAGGUGGCGGGGCUGGAGGGGGGCUCCCCUGCCCACCCUGCCGUGCCCGUGGGCGUUCCCACAGGACCAUCAGAAUAAAUCAUGUGUCUCCUUAGCUG